AACGAACGCUGGCGGCAGGCCUAACACAUGCAAGUCGAACGCUCCGCAAGGAGAGUGGCAGACGGGUGAGUAACGCGUGGGAACGUGCCCUUUGGUUCGGAAUAUUCCCGGGAAACUGGGAGCAAUACCGGAUAAGCCCUUCGGGGGAAAGAUUUAUCGCCAAAGGAUCGGCCCGCGUCAGAUUAGCUAGUUGGUGAGGUAAUGGCUCACCAAGGCUACGAUCUGUAGCUGGUCUGAGAGGAUGAUCAGCCACACUGGGACUGAGACACGGCCCAGACUCUUACGGGAGGCAGCAGUGGGGAAUCUUGGACAAUGGGCGCAAGCCUGGUCCAGCCAUGCCGCGUGGAUGAUGAAGGCCCUAGGGUUGUAAAAUCCUUUCGACGGGGAAGAUAAUGACGGUACCCGUAGAAGAAGCUCCGGCUAACUUCGUGCCAGCCGCCGCCGUAA
rnacentral:rRNA from 1 species